UGAUGCUUAUUGCUGAAGAGGGUU
rnacentral:piRNA from 1 species